rnacentral:tRNA from 2 species
CGGGCUGUAGCGUAGCCUGGUAGCGCGCAACACUGGGGGUGUUGAGGUCGCUGGUUCGAAUCCAGUCAGCCCGA